GAUGAACGCUGGCGGCGUGCCUAAUACAUGCAAGUCGAGCGAACAGACGAGGAGCUUGCUCCUCUGAUGUUAGCGGCGGACGGGUGAGUAACACGUGGAUAACCUCCCUAUAUGACUGGGAUAACUUCGGGAAACCGGAGCUAAUACCGGAUAAUAUAUUGAACCGCAUGGUUCAAUAGUGAAAGACGGUUUUGCUGUCACUUAUAGAUGGAUCCGCGCCGCAUUAGCUAGUUGGUAAGGUAACGGCUUACCAAGGCAACGAUGCGUAGCCGACCUGAGAGGGGGAUCGGCCACACGGGAACUGAGACACGGUCCAGACUCCUACGGGAGGCAGCAGUAGGGAAUCUUCCGCAAUGGGCGAAAGCCUGACGGAGCAACGCCGCGUGAGUGAUGAAGGUCUUCGGAUCGUAAAACUCUGUUAUUAGGGAAGAACAAAUGUGUAAGUAACUAUGCACGUCUUGACGGUACCUAAUCAGAAAGCCACGGCUAACUACGUG
rnacentral:rRNA from 1 species